rnacentral:rRNA from 1 species
GACGAACGCUGGCGGCGUGCCUAACACAUGCAAGUCGAGCGGGGUCCAUCCGGUGGCAACACCGGUGAAGACCUAGCGGCGAACGGGUGAGUAACACGUGAGAAACCUGCCCCGAAGUCUGGGAUAACCCGGGGAAACCCGAGCUAAUACCGGAUACCCUCAGCUGGUCGCAUGGCCGGCUGCGGAAAGUUUUUCGCUUCGGGAGGGUCUCGCGGCCUAUCAGCUAGUUGGCGGGGUAACGGCCCACCAAGGCGUCGACGGGUAGCUGGUCUGAGAGGGCGAUCAGCCACACUGGGACUGAGACACGGCCCAGACUCCUACGGGAGGCAGCAGUGGGGAAUCUUGCGCAAUGGGCGAAAGCCUGACGCAGCAACGCCGCGUGCGGGAUGAAGGCCUUCGGGUUGUAAACCGCUUUCAGCAGGGAAGAAAAUGACGGUACCUGCAGAAGAAGCCCCGGCCAACUACGUGCCAGCAGCCGCAGUAA